AGAUAAAAUAACACAAGAAGAUAUUGAAGGCAUUCUACAGAAAUUUACUGGAAAUAUAAUGCAAGUGCCCCCCCUCUAUUCCGCAUUAAAGAAAGAUGGACAAAGACUUUCGACUUUGAUGAAGAGAGGUGAAGUCGUAGAAGCAAAACCUGCCAGGCCAGUGACUGUAUACAGUAUCUCCCUUCAAAAAUUCCAGCCACCAUUUUUCACAUUAGAUGUUGAAUGUGGAGGAGGUUUUUAUAUCAGAAGCUUGGUCAGUGACAUUGGAAAAGAACUAUCUUCCUGUGCCAAUGUGCUAGAGCUGACCCGAACCAAACAGGGACCAUUUACGCUAGAAGAACAUGCCCUUCCUGAAGACAAAUGGACAAUUGAUGACAUUGCACAGUCUCUUGAGCAUUGCUCUCCUCUUUUCCCAGCAGAGUUGGCACUUAAAAAAUCAAAACCUGAGUCUAAUGAACAGGUUUUGAGCUGUGAAUAUAUAACUCUAAAUGAGCCAAAGGGAGAAGAUGAUGUAAUUAAGACGUGUUGAGAUUGGCCUGGGAAUAUCAUCAUUUUCUAGUUGACAUUUGAAUCCUGUGUGCAGAUGCAGAAUGACAAGCUGCAUUCAAAAGACAAACAAUAUGUCUUUUUUUUUUCGCAUGAAGAAAAAUGUCUAUCAUUUACAGUUUCAAUAGCACAUAAUUUAUUUUCUAUGCAUUAUAAAUGGCCUUGCAGUUGGCUCAGUUGUUUGCUGUGUUGUGGAAUGUUUUAGGAUUUUUUGUAUUGUGAAAAUAUGAAUAUGAUUGGAUUCAGAAAAAUUAACUUUCUGAAUUUGAUCUGUCUUCAGUCUUGUGAAAAAGUUGAACAAAUUUCCUAAUCAAAGAAAAAAGUAUGAGCUCCAUGUUUCUUUAGUUUCACAAAAAUGACCAUAAUUUAGUGUUAUUUUUACUUUAUUUAGGCUUCCUGGUGGCUUCAUUUUAUUGAAAUUCUUUAAAUUGUUUAAAGUGGCCAUUAUUGAUCUCUUUCUUCUGUUUUGGAGAGUUUAUUAUUAAAAACAUUUCUUUGAUAAAAUGGCCAUCAUCUAGUAAUACCUGUGUUUGUUUAGAUCUUGGAAAUGAAUAAGCUUUGAUAAUAUUUGUAAACGAACCAAAUUAUUACUGCUACCACUAACAGGUUGUAAAUAGAAGACUAAUACUUAAUUAAAGUCACCUUCCUACCAUUAGAGCAGAAGACAGCUCCUAUAGUUUUGUAUUUUGGCAGCUAUGAGAUAUUUUCAUGGUAAUGUCAACAUGGUCAAGCACUUUGUACCAAGUUAUUAAGUAACAUAAUUUUUAAAAUUUAAAGAAUGUGUCUUCAACUAAAAACUUUAUUCUUUAGCAUUUAUUUAUAUCUCUCUGUAGGGUGUUAUCCCUGUGACAUUGUCUCUUUAGUUUGCUCUUUCAAGAGAUACUUACAGAUGUUGAGAUGGCUGCCCUGCAUUUCCAGCUAAUCUCUUCUGCUCUAAAUAUUUAAAAACAGUUCUUCUCAAACAUUUUCAUUCAGAUAGCUUUCUGAAAGUUCCCUAUCCCUCUUUACCAUAAUUUUUUAAAUGUAGCCACAUUGUAAUAGUAAACUUCAUAUAUAAUGAGUGCUUCAUAUUUUUGUUAUGGGAAAGCAAUAUAUUAUGCAGCCAGUCUGUAGAAACAUUCAAAUCCCUCUUCCUUUACUCAAAUACGGUUUCAAAAGGAAGACUCAUGAGAAAUUUCAUAAAAUACAAGUUUUUAGAUGUUUAUGCUUUGCCUUUCUUUUUAAAGGUGUUUUCCUGCUUUGUAGUCUCUAACUCUGAAAUUUAAAAUAUGUAAACUAAAGUGGUUUUAUUUGUGCUUAACCCAAUUUAAACUCAAUGUAAAAUGUUAUAUAUGCAUCAGUACAGCAUUUUCAACAUUAUUGGCAACAUAUUUUAAAUGAAAACACUAAAACAAUUCUUAGUAUGAGACAAAAUUGUAAGGAAAAAGAGUGUUAAUACCAUGAUGCAUUAACGUAAAAUAUCAAACACACAAAGUCAUAAAAUGAAAAUUUACAGUUUUACCUGUUCAUCUCUAGUGCCCCACAGUGUGUGUCAACUAAAGGUGGCAGUGGCUACAUCUGCCUGUUGGACUGGUACAGGUUACAAUAUGUCCUCUUCCAUUGCAAAUUAAAGUCCAAAUAGAGAAAUACUUAGGUUUUAGAACACAUCAGAGGUAUUUCUGCUGUAUUUUUCACCUUAAAAAUUGACACAGAGUUUACUAAUAGAGGAAUAGAGAUUGUUGACCAUUUUUUAAAAAUGAUAGCCACUCUUUUUCUUUUAUGUUUAAAACUGAAGUUUUGCCAAAUGGGAAAAUUACUGUUACCUCUACCAUCUUAAUGUAGUAACUUUAGAAUUUAAAUUUUUAUAUUACUAUUUUCCUUUUUGUUGUUCACAUAGUCUUAAGGCACCUAUACUUUUAAAUUGACUUUUUCAUUUGAUAUUAUCUAUAUGUAUGUAGUUGUGAUAAUGAUUAUUUUAAUUAUAUUACUUUAUACUCAAUUUAUUUAGAGUAUUUCUCUAUUGCUGAAUACUUAAGUAGUUUUAAAUUUUAUUAUGAUAAAUUCCUGGGAGGGGGGUUAUUUAGUGAAAUAAUAUGAAGAACUUUAUGACUUAUGUUUGCCUUAUUGCAUUCCCAAACAGUUGUAACAUUUUACAGUGUUGCCAUUUGAGUAGGGGUUUUAUAUGUUGUUGCUAAUUUAGUAAACAUAGGAGAGAAAUCAAAGUUUUUCUGAUUUGCUUUUAUGUGAUUUAUCUGUAUACUUUGUUCAUUUAUAUAAAUAAAUGUCUUAAUGGUUUCUAUACAUA
rnacentral:lncRNA from 1 species